rnacentral:ncRNA from 2 species
UGAACCAGCGAGGGGUGCUUCUCGCGGGUGGGCCCAUGGAAGAGGACGCCUCUUCUGUGAACAUGCCCAGCCCGCGGGUCGCUGAGAUCAUACCCUUUUAACCUGAUCCGGGUAAAACCGGCGGAGGGACUGCUGUGAUGUACCUGG